rnacentral:sRNA from 1 species
AGUGGAGCAUCCAAGGGGAGAGAUGACUCUGGGGACGACGACGAGGCUGCCAACCCAGCCGACAAGAGCGAGCUGCACCACACCCUGAAGAAUCUUUCCCUGAAGUUAGAUGACCUCAGCACGUGCAAUGACCUCAUCGCCAAGCACGGCGCCGCACUCCAGCGCUCCCUGACAGAGCUGGACGGCCUCAAGAUCCCAUCUGAGAGUGGGGAGAAGCUGAAGGUGGUGAAUGAGCGGGCCACCCUCUUCCGCAUCACAUCCAAUGCUAUGAUCAACAAGCCACUGCCCGAGGCUUCCCAGGCACUGCCUCCCUACCCGAGACCAAAACUGCUUUGUCUUGAAUAAGCAGUUUUGGCUUUUCCGAGAUAAUGAGCGUCUCAGCUGGCUGCCGUCUUGCACAGUCUUUUAUCAGACAUCAGAGGCUCAUCUGUGUUUACGAAGCCAUCAGAACAGCUCCAAGUUUAAGUGCCUAAUGAAUUGUUUUAUGAGAA